rnacentral:lncRNA from 1 species
UAAUUUGUAUCAGGCCUUAUCAGCUUUGAUCAGCUCCUUCGUCAAAUUUGCCAGAGCUGCUCACUCUGAAGUCCAGUUGUUUCUGAUGCUUCGAGCGUCUUCUCUCAUCAAAAUUCUCCCAUCCUUCAAUCUGUGAUCGUUUGAAAAUCGUAAGAGGCAAACUAGAUAGGGCAUGUUACUGUUAUUACUUUAUAGUAGUAAAUGAUUUACUACCUGGCAGAUAACAUCUAUAGUUAUUUCAGUUCCAUGGAGAUCUAGUGUAGAGAGUUGACAGCACUGUUUAAAAAUGCUGCUAGGAAGGGAUUUGAGCCCAUUGUUCCCAAGAUAAAGUGCCUGCACCAGUAAUCGGAC